CAUUCCUUCAUAGUGUAGAAAUGAAAAAUGUGCACUAUAACCUCAUCAGAUUUCUUACAGGAACCCAGGUUACGGCAGAGAGCCGCAGUGCCAGUCUCUAGGCUGUCUGCGGGGCGGCGUGGUGAGGGCUGUCUGCGGGGCGGCGUGGUGAGGGCUGUCUGCGGGGUGGCGUGGUGAGGGCUGUCUGCGGGGCGCCGUGGUGAGUUGCAGGCUGUGCCCUGACUUUGUCAGCUCUUACUAAAUCACGUCUAAGGAUAAAGAGGACAGCAUUGCCUGUUGAUGAGCCCAGUUCUUCAUUCUGCUUUUCCUACAGUGCACUGAACAGCAGAGUAGAUGGUUUACAUCGCAAAUACAUAGUUACAAUGAACAAAGACCAAACACAGGAGCCCGAAAGAAUACCAUGCUUCCAGAUAGCAAAGGGGAAGAUGUUUCAGAACAGUGAAUGUGGGGUUUAGAGAUGCAAGCCCUUCUGACUGAUCUCUUUGAGCAUCUAUUCUGCAUGCAUAAUUGUGAUGUCACUGAGUCUGAGGCAGCCUUAUGGAACAGGGGUCAUUAUUAUUUACACAUCACAGAAGAAGCAGAGGAAAUUUACCCAAGGGAAACAGAAAGAGGAGGAGUGAGAGAAGAGGUGUGGAGAGACUGAAAGGAGUGUGGAAGGGGAACCGCGGUCUGGAUGUAACCUAUGUAAAGAAUAAAAACAAAAUAUAAAAUAAAAAACAAUAAAGGAUGUGCAACAUGCUAACAAUA